rnacentral:rRNA from 1 species
UACGGAGGGUGCAAGCGUUGUUCGGAAUUACUGGGCGUAAAGCGCGUGUAGGCGGCCGAUUAAGUCUGGUGUGAAAGCCCGGGGCUCACCCCCGGAAGUGCGCUGGAAACUGGUCGGCUAGAGUAUGGGAGAGGAAAGUGGAAUUCCCGGUGUAGCGGUGAAAUUCGUAGAUAUCGGGAGGAACACCAGUGGCGAAGGCGGCGACCUGGACGGACACUGACGCUGAGACGCGAAAGCGUGGGGAGCAAACAGG